rnacentral:rRNA from 1 species
CCUACGGGUGGCUGCAGUGGGGAAUAUUGCACAAUGGGGGAAACCCUGAUGCAGCGACGCCGCGUGAGUGCAGAAGUAAUUCGUUCUGUAAAGCUCUAUCAGCAGGGAAGAAAAUGACGGUACCUGAGUAAGCAGCCCCGGCUAACUCCGUGCCAGCAGCCGCGGUCAUACGUAGGGGGCAAGCGUUCUCCGGAUUUACUGGGUGUAAAGGGAGCGUAGACGGCAGUGCAAGUCCGGAGUGAAAGGCGUGGGCUCAACCGCCGGACUGCACUGGAAACUGUACGGCGGGAGUGCAGGAGAGGUAAGUGGAAUUCCGAGUGUAGCGGUGAAAUGCGUAGAUAUUAGGAGGAACACCAGUGGCGAAGGCGGCUUACUGGACUGUAACUGACGUUGAGGCUCGAAAGCGUGGGGAGCAAACAGGAUUAGAUACCCCUGUAGUC